GUGGGGAAUCUUAGACAAUGGGCGCAAGCCUGAUCUAGCCAUGCCGCGUGAGCGAUGAAGGCCUUAGGGUUGUAAAGCUCUUUCGUGGGGGAAGAUAAUGACUGUACCCCAAGAAGAAGCCCCGGCUAACUCCGUGCCAGCAGCCGCGGUAAUACGGAGGGGGCUAGCGUUGUUCGGAAUUACUGGGCGUAAAGCGCACGUAGGCGGACUGGAAAGUCAGGGGUGAAAUCCCGGGGCUCAACCCCGGAACUGCCUUUGAAACUCCCAGUCUUGAGUUCGAGAGAGGUGAGUGGAAUUCCGAGUGUAGAGGUGAAAUUCGUAGAUAUUCGGAGGAACACCAGUGGCGAAGGCGGCUCACUGGCUCGAUACUGACGCUGAGGUGCGAAAGCGUGGGGAGCAAACAGGAUUAGAUACCCCAGUAGUCC
rnacentral:rRNA from 1 species